rnacentral:rRNA from 1 species
UACGUAGGUGGCAAGCGUUGUCCGGAUUUACUGGGCGUAAAGAGCGCGCAGGCGGUUGGAUAAGUCGAAUGUGAAAGCCCCCGGCUCAACUGGGGAGGGUCAUUCGAUACUGAUCGACUCGAAGGCAGGAGAGGGUAGUGGAAUUCCCGGUGUAGUGGUGAAAUGCGUAGAUAUCGGGAGGAACACCAGUGGCGAAGGCGACUACCUGGCCUGUUCUUGACGCUGAGGCGCGAAAGCUAGGGGAGCAAACGGG